rnacentral:rRNA from 1 species
CUGCCUGGGAGUGGGGGACAACGCUCGGAAAGGUACGCUAAUACCGCAUACGUCCUACGGGAGAAAGCAGGGGACCUUCGGGCCUUGCGCUAUCAGAUGAGCCUAGGUCGGAUUAGCUAGUUGGUGGGGUAAUGGCUCACCAAGGCGACGAUCCGUAACUGGUCUGAGAGGAUGAUCAGUCACACUGGAACUGAGACACGGUCCAGACUCCUACGGGAGGCAGCAGUGGGGAAUAUUGGACAAUGGGCGAAAGCCUGAUCCAGCCAUGCCGCGUGUGUGAAGAAGGUCUUCGGAUUGUAAAGCACUUUAAGUUGGGAGGAAGGGCAUUAAGCUAAUACCUUGGUGUUUUGACGUUACCGACAGAAUAAGCACCGGCUAACUCUGUGCCAGCAGC